rnacentral:misc_RNA from 1 species
GAUGAAGAACGCAGCGAAAUGCGAUAAGUAAUGUGAAUUGCAGAAUUCAGUGAAUCAUCGAAUCUUUGAACACACAUUGCGCCCGCUAGUAUUCUGGCGGGCAUGCCUGUCCGAGCGUCAUUUCAACCCUCAAGCCCCCGGGCUUGGUGUUGGGGAUCGGCGAGCCUCCGCGCCCGCCGUCCCCUAAAUCUAGUGGCGGUCUCGCUGUAGCUUCCUCUGCGUAGUAGCACACCUCGCACUGGGAAACAGCGCGGCCACGCCGUUAAACCCCCAACUUCUGAACGUUUGACCUCGGAUCAGGUAGGAAUACCCGCUGAACUUAAGCAUAUCAAUAAGCGGAGGA